AAUUCCGGCAAAAUCCCAGCUCCGUCGGCUGCGGCGGAGCCGGUUAAGCCAGCUUCAUCUGCUGUUUCGAUGGGGUGGACAGCUGAGGGUUUACCUAUGGGCCAUAGCGUUGGGACGGCGGUGGUGGGGGAGCCAAUCAUGCGUAGGGCUCAAUGGGAAUCUAGCCUUUGCUCUUGUUUUGGGAAGAAUGAUGAAUUUGCCAGCAGCGAUUUUGAAGUUUGUCUGUUAGGAACUCUGGCACCAUGUGUGCUCUAUG
rnacentral:misc_RNA from 1 species